rnacentral:tRNA from 1 species
CAACCAGACCUUAUAAUUUACAUAACAUUUAUAAAUUCAAUUAAUGUAAUAAAUCGUAAAGUUC